CCUACGGGUGGCAGCAGUGGGGAAUAUUGGACAAUGGGCGAAAGCCUGAUCCAGCCAUGCCGCGUGUGUGAAGAAGGCCUUCGGGUUGUAAAGCACUUUCAGUGGGGAAGAAAGCCUUAGGGCUAAUACCCUCGAGGAAGGACAUCACCCACAGAAGAAGCACCGGCUAACUCCGUGCCAGCAGCCGCGGUAAUACGGAGGGUGCGAGCGUUAAUCGGAAUUACUGGGCGUAAAGCGCGCGUAGGCGGUCUGAUAAGCCGGUUGUGAAAGCCCCGGGCUCAACCUGGGAACGGCAUCCGGAACUGUCAGGCUAGAGUGCAGGAGAGGAAGGUAGAAUUCCCGGUGUAGCGGUGAAAUGCGUAGAGAUCGGGAGGAAUACCAGUGGCGAAGGCGGCCUUCUGGACUGACACUGACGCUGAGGUGCGAAAGCGUGGGUAGCAAACAGGACUAGAUACCCGAGUAGUC
rnacentral:rRNA from 1 species